CUGAAGAAGUACAGACUCUGUGGCUGCAGCAGGACAUUUCAGAAUGAAAGUAAGAGCUGGCAGGGAAAAAAGAGACGGACGGCGUUCAAGUGAAAGAAGAAGCAGCGACAGAACAGAUUUCUUCACAGAAGUCUGUAGAAAGAGACUGAGGACAGAGCAGAUGUAUUGUUCGGGCCGCUGUACGAUGAUUAGAAGAAGAGGAAGUCCUCUGCAGGUUACCUAUCCCCGAGGAGCGGUGGGCAGCCACCAGACAGCGCCAGGGGAAAGUGACAGUGACGGACCAGAAAAUUAGACCGGAGCACUCAGAGGAAAUGGGAAGACCAUGCAAACUCCACCAUGCAAACUCCUAACCCCCGCUGGAAAUCAAACCCAGCUGUGACGCAACUAACCCCGACCCAAAACACUGUGCCGAUGGAUUUUAACCAGCUGAAUCACUAGAACCUGCAGGUGUGAACACAGUAACAUUUUCAUUAAAUUCUUGCACAAUUUCAGCGCAAGUUUCUGAAAUGUAUUCCUCAUUUUAUUGGUUUUUCUGCAUCAUGCCAGCAGUGACUGUAAUCUGGAAUUUGGGCAGAUGCCAGAAGGGACU